ensembl:lncRNA
UGUCAUUUAAGUUACAUUAUUAAUACUCCAUUGUUUGUUUUAGAAGAUGUUUUUCAAAGAUGUAACAAAACUUAGGUCAAAAAUACAAAACUGUAAUACAAAUGCAAUACUCAUAGUUUUACAAGUAGCCUACCAUCCAUGAAAAAACAUGCAAUACAGCGUGAAAGUGUUUUCAGUAAAAAGUACACUGUGGCUUUCGCAACAGAUGUUCAGAAUGACUCUGUGUACCAGCUCAGUUUUCUGUGAAAGAGGUUUGCCAAUUUUACUCAUACUAUUGGAUUAAUUUAAAUAAGUUUAAUUUCCCAUAUUUCCUGACGUAAUGUCUACUUACUGCAGCUGGCAAGUCUGCAUGUUUCAGGAAGUAUGUGGGAGGUACAUGUAUGUGAACGCUUUACACUGGGUUUCAACUUGGCUGUAGAUAAGUUGAUAUUCAUAACCUGAUCUCUCUGGCUUAGUGUCUGUUUGUUUAUAGUUGCAUAACUUAUUUAACCAGUGUAGCUACACUUUUCUGUUUUUACUGAACUGAACAAUUAUUCCUUCAGAUAAAAAAGAAAGACAAAGACAAAGAUAAUUGCCAUUGGCUUCUGCCAAAUACUGAAUUGUAAAAAAAAAAAAAUAAUCCAGGACAUUCUAAUGUAUCUUGUAAUUGUACAAUGAUCCUGAUCUUUGAGCUUGCACAAUGAGCCUUGUUUUUUGUGUUCAAGAUGUUCCAGGUCCAUACAACCAGAAAAGUACAUUUAUUUGUAUCCAUGCUGGUGGUUUGUUCCUCAGUGUCUGAUGGACAAAUUACAACUGGACCCCCUGGACCCCCUGGACCCCCUGGACCUCGUGGACCCCCUGGAACCAGUGGAUUCCCUGGAGCCAGAGGAUCUGUUGGAGCCAGUGGAGCCAGUGGACCCCAAGGAACCCGUGGAGAGAGUGGACCCCCUGGAAAAGAUGGACCCCGUGGAGCCAGUGGACCCCCUGGCACUAGUGGAUCACCUGGCCAGGAGGGACCUACUGGUCCCCCAGGAAUCUGCACCUAUUCUGAAGGAUGUGAGACAAGCACUUUUGAUCAAAAUGGACUGACAUUGAUUGCUAUAGUAGGAUGUGUUCUUGCUGUCCUGGAUGCUGCUGCCUUGAUUGCUGUUGUUAUUUUCCAGAUCAAGAAGAGAAACACAGCAGUGAGAGACUCCGGAGUGCAUUCCCAGGUGUUGCAACAUAGUGUCUGUCUUCCUAUUUUGAACUAUUCUUUGUUGAACUAGUCAGUGGUCAAUGCAGUGAACUUUAACAGAUAUAAUAACAAACUGUCAUACACUAUUCUCUGCCAUGUAAUCUGUUUCAUGUUGAAGUUCCAUGCAGCUUUAUUUCUUAUUUUUGGCCUGAUAUGACAUCUAUCUCUCUAAAUGUAUAAACUAGACAUACACAACAGACCGAUGUUUAGGUAAAUUAAUAUAGAAGAUUGUUGCCCUCUGUUCAGACUUCAUCUUCUAUCAGGAACAUGCUAAUGAAACCACAUGUCUUUUAUUUAUAUUUCCCUAGAGGCCUGAUAUGGAUACAUACACAGCUCUGAAUCUCAGAACAAGAUCACCUGAUUACGAGACUCUUGGUCAUUCCAGGAACCCACCAAGAGCACGUGGCCGAAGCCAUCGAUGAAUACUGAAGCCUCUGCAAACUCCAGCUGAUGUUGAAUUUGCAUAACUCCAUACACCUUCAGAUAGCAAUCAACAGGGGAC